AAAAGUUAUGUUUCUCUCUCGACUCACUCAAAUAAUCUUAAGCCUUCUUUUAGAUUCAAGAUCGUUGCCAUUGGCGGUGGCCCUUCCUUGCUCCGCCUCUUAUCCUCCUUCUAUCUCUUCUUUUUCUGGUUUUCCCUCUCUCUCAUCUUCUAUUCAUCUCUCCUUUUUUGCCUCUACUUCGACUGAUCUCUUUGUUGUUUGUGUGCUUGUCCAAUAUUAAGAUUGGUAUAAUAAAUUAUUAUUUCUUUCUCAUAUACCGAUUUAUUAAUUUUUAUUUAAUAGAGGUUUUACAUUUUUUAGGCGUUAUAUCAUUCUUUUUUUAGAAUAAAACUGAAAAAGAAAUUUAUUUUAAUUUUUAUCUAACUAGACUCGUUUAAAGAUAUUUCUAGAGUCGAUUUGUGGAUUUAAAAACUUACCGAGAAGAAUUUAGUAAUUAAUAGAAAUAAUUUCUUUCUCACUAUUAUAUGCAUUUUCUGAUUAUUGUUAUUAUUUUUUUAUGAUUAAGAUGUAUAUCCUUAAAAGAAGUAUUUAUAUUCUUCUGAUAGAAAAUAAAUUUUUUACUUUAAAUCUAAAUUUUCAAAUGUAAGAUAUAGAAAAUAUAACUUGCUUCAUUCUCCUAUUUUUUAGGAAAUCUUCAUUCCAAGAAAUUCUAAAAAAUAUGAUAAAAUAUUUUUUAAAAAUUCAAGAGAAUUUAACAAGAUAUUCUUACUAUCGCAACUAAUUUUAAAGGAUAAUUGUAAUUGACCCAUGAAAUUUCUCAUGUCACACUAGUUCGGAUCUUACUUUUUAAUAUUAUAUUAAAUAUCCUCCAUGGUUUGUAAUUAUAUAUUAAUCUCCCUUUUUGCUAGUUAUUCUUAUAGUCUUGCAAACAUUGGAUAGUUUUAGAGUGAAAAACCUCCCUUUUGGAGCGGUUUUCAAUGGCUUUUGCCACUGGAAACUUGGCCUAAUUUGUAUUUUCUUUUCUGUUUUGAGUGUUAUAUAUAUAUAUAUAUAUAUAUGUUACUGUUUGCAUGUUUAAUUAUGUUGUUCUCUUUGUUAUUAUUAGUAUUUUGUUACUAUCUUUUGUGGUGGCAAAUGGCCAGCCUUGGUUGAGUCCUAUGUGUUCCGACCUCUUGCUAGCGAAAGCUCUAUGGAAUGCUAUUUGGUGACAGUAGUUGGUGGGAGAGGGAGAAGGGCGCUGGCGACAAGCUUGGCGGUGAGAGAGAAUCAGUCCAGACCAAAUAUAAAUCCUUCUUGGCAGAAACAAUCACGGUCGUUGUUGAUUUCCUUCUUGCCAUUUAUCGCUAUUAUUGAGGGAUGUGGAAGUUCUUGGCUACUAAUAGUUUAUGGAUUUCAUUUGAGCUCUCAAUCUUUUUGGCAUAUUGCGAAGGCUAACGGUAGUCCAUCUUUUGGCGUGGGUUUGCUUUUGCUUUACAAUCAUUGAUCUUCAUGGUAGUUGCUAUGGCAGCUGUUUGUCCGUGCUCUCUACUGGUGGAAUUGUGGAUGGUGGUAGAGAGUUCUAGAAGGGGAGGAUUAGAUCAGGGGUUUAAUUGUCAUUUCAUUUCCUAUGUAGGCCUGUAGGCCGAAAUUUGUAUGGGUUUUAAACCUAGUUUCUUUCAACUUAAGGAUGUUAAGCUUGGUUCUUACCCCUUUGGGGUUUUUAGUCUUUUAGACCUUUGGUCUAGUCAUAUGGUUCGUUAAGUCCAGCCUUCAUGUAAUUACAUAUUUUUACUGUUUUGGGCCUUACCCCUUAUUUAAUGACAGCUAUUCUUUUCUUUCGACCAGAAAAAAAAA
rnacentral:lncRNA from 1 species